GGGAAGGUUAAAUCUUACUGGUGGAUGCUGGGAAAGGUUAAAUCUUACUGGUGGAUGCUGGGGAAGGUUAAAUCUUACUGGUGGAUGCUGGGAAAGGUUAAAUCUUACUGGUGGAUGCUGGGAAAGGUUAAAUCUUACUGGUGGAUGCUGGGAAAGGUUAAAUCUUACUGGUGGAUGCUGGGAAAGGUUAAAUCUUACUGGUGGAUGCUGGGAAAGGUUAAAUCUUACUGGUGGAUGCUGGGGAAGGUUAAAUCUUACUGGUGGAUGCUGGGAAAGGUUAAAUCUUACUGGUGGAUGCUGGGGAAGGUUAAAUCUUACUGGUGGAUGCUGGGAAAGGUUAAAUCUUACUGGUGGAUGCUGGGAAAGGUUAAAUCUUACUGGUGGAUGCUGGGGAAGGUUAAAUCUUACUGGUGGAUGCUGGGGAAGGUUAAAUCUUACUGGUGGAUGCUGGGAAAGGUUAAAUCUUACUGGUGGAUGCUGGGGAAGGUUAAAUCUUACUGGUGGAUGCUGGGAAAGGUUAAAUCUUACUGGUGGAUGCUGGGAAAGGUUAAAUCUUACUGGUGGAUGCUGGGGAAGGUUAAAUCUUACUGGUGGAUGCUGGGAAAGGUUAAAUCUUACUGGUGGAUGCUGGGAAAGGUUAAAUCUUACUGGUGGAUGCUGGGAAAGGUUAAAUCUUACUGGUGGAUGCUGGGGAAGGUUAAAUCUUACUGGUGGAUGCUGGGAAAGGUUAAAUCUUACUGGUGGAUGCUGGGAAAGGUUAAAUCUUACUGGUGGAUGCUGGGAAAGGUUAAAU